AAGUAGUACAGUUAAAUGGAGAAAAGUUGAUCUAAGUUUGGAUGUUAUGUUUUCUGUUACCUACUUAAAGAUUAACCAUAAGCAUUACCGUUGGUGGGAAGUUGCUCGGCUACAUAAUGGGAUUACUCUGAUCCAAACCAUAAAUCCCCUUGCCCAAAUGAUGGUGGAAAUAGACAUGGUUUUGAGAUAACUCAUCCAAGAUUCCGUCUGUACUAAAAUCUGUUGGUCUACGUAUCCAGAUUAGACCAAAUUAAUACCAUAUCCAUAAUCGCCUGUUACUUCGAAUCAAACUGAUCUUCUGAAUCUUCCGAAGUUCUGAUUUUCAUCAUAAGUUUUUGGGAUUGUGACUGAAGUUUUUGUUUUUGUGGAUGUAGAGCUUUGGUUGAGCUUCUGGAGUGAAGUACACUAUAAUUCAUUGUAUGCAAGUGGAGACGUUCCUUCUAGAGCACCGAGAAAAAGGCACUCACCUGCUCAAGAUCAUUUAUUUUCUGUACCUAUUCCAUCUCCAUGCUAGAAACUCAGUUAUUGUUUAACAUGACUUCCAGAUUCUCUCUCUUUUCAAUACUUCAGUUGAAAUUUACUUGUCAGAAAUUUGUAUA